AGCUCAUUGGACACUGCAUUGGACCUGGAUUUACCUCCUUUCCUGAAAAUGCUUGCUGUAGGAACACAAUGACAUGCAUAUUUCAAGCCUCUUCUGGAAGUCAAUUAGAACAAGCUCUUCCCUUCAGAACAAAGUCUAGGCGGGAGGAAGACAUACAUGCCCACCUGGACAUUCCACCACCUAAAGGGGGAGGUGAUGUGUGCAGCUGACUGAGGGAACCAGGCUUCCAGGGAAAUGAACAAAUCCCCCAGCUGUGGCCGGAGGUCCAUGGACACUUUGAUGUGCAGGGCCAAUCUCCUGCUCUGUCCCAGAGGAAGAGCGCCGCGGACCACACCAGCCCACUGGGGAAGGCUCGCAUCCACUCCCCGAGUGAAGGCAAAUAAACAGAAAUGCAGCAGACACUUCUAACUGCGGCCUUUUAAUCCCACUGUCAAAAACAUGUUUCCAUUUGAAUACAUAAUCAUGAAAGCAUGCAGGCUCUGGUCUAUUCAGGGGGCUGGCGAGAGAGAUAGCAAAGGCCCAGAGCAAGUUCUCUGGAGGAAACACGAGGCUUGAGUUACCAGUGAAGUUUUCAGAGUCCCGUGGAACAACGCAACAGUGUGGUGCCUGUCCUGCUGUGAGCCUCCACAAGCAACCUCACUCAAAACGCUCUGCAGAGAUGGAUUUUUCCAUCAGAAUUAUGGAUUUUUCUGGGAAGCUGAGGACACAGGAUGUGUGAGUCCCUUCAGGAGAAGCCAAAGCAUCUCUCCCAGCCUGAAAGCUCCUUUCCAUCCUGGAGAGAACCAGGGCUUCCCAGGGUCAGCUGCCCUUCCCCCAGUCAGACCGGGAAAGGCCACAGACAUCAUUAAAGAAUGCCUUGAAGAAAACAAAUGAUGUGAAGAGACAUCUGGAGAGGUGAUCUGAAGAUGAUUACAGUCUCUAAUCAAGCUGGAAAAGCAUUCUCGUGAAAGUACAUGCUGUCUGGAAGACCAAGAUGCUAGGAGGCUAAGACUGUUCCCUCUUUGCCUCAACUCUCCCUACCACCGUGAAGUCAUUCUUAAAUCAACAACUCUUCCCUUCUGUCUUCCCUGGGUCUCUCUGGCUCAGGAUAAGAGCAAGGAGAGCUCAGCUCUUGAGCUGUGCUGGUCCUUAGACAAUUCAUCUUCUUCGAAGGCCAUGUUGGGAUAGUGACUUCUCUUCAUCUCUCAGAAACACCACGCCCUGCCAGCCACUAAGGGGUCUCCCUCUCUCCGUGUAGGAGAGCUGUGGCCCGACACAGCUGUGGUGUGGUGGUCAGUCCCCUCUCUACCCAUCAGUUCUCGCUGGCUUCCUUUGGAGCUCGUACCUGAAAUAGAAGAGCUGGUAGAAACAGGUGCAACACCCACUUGGCCUUGGAGGGAAGUUAAGGCCAUUUCACCCCAUAAUGCUGCCCAUCCACUGUCUCUCCGAUUCUGGUUCUAGUUCCUAUUUCCUGUUUGCCUCCCUCGUCUCUCGCUAUGCAUGUAGCAGGGCCCCAUGCGUCUCAGAGUCAAAGUCAAAUGAGAACAAAAGUAAACAUAGUGCAAAUACAAUCAACAACAUGGGCAGGGAUUUCCUCGGCUAAUGAAGCUUCAGGGCCAGCAGGUGCAUUGUCACCAUGAAGGAAAAAAGUGGAGUUCAUUGAGCAGACCAGCGAAUAAACACGUCUGCAGGACAACAUAACUUUAGUACUUGGCCGUGGCCAAAAAAAAGAAAUUGAGAUUUCUCUGGCAAUGUCUAAUCACACUGACAUUUCAGAAGGUCUGUUUUCAUUCCCCAGUCUUGGCUCUCAAACUAAUAGCCAACUUGAAAUAAUUAGAGCUGACUCAUUUAUUUUGACCACAAGUCCUACUGAGUUUGUGCAGGCUGAAUUCACACCGGCAGGGGUGGGGCCACUGGAGCUGUGGUAAAGAUGUAGAUUGCAGGUCUCAGCAGGUGGAAUGCGCACUGAGGACAGCGUACUGCUGAUCACUUCCAUCUGCCUUGACCCUCGGGGAAUGUUCUCCACUUCCCUGCCGCUCCAGAACGUCUAGAACAACAGGACUGCGAUCGCUGGAGCGGGAUGAUGGCAACACUGUGCAGCCGUCGAUCUUUGUUGCUGAGGAACCUGUAAAAUUCAUCCCCCAGAGGCUCGAGGGAACGGUGGUGGAAUGAGCAAUAAAGUUAAGUCACCACCUGGACUCUCCGCACCAUGACGAGUGUGUUGGCAAAAAUGAAUUUUCCAAUUUAAGACUUCAAAACCUGAAGUUCCCUCCUAAACUGCCUCUUGUUUUCAUCCAGCAAAGAAGACUCAUGGGUAUAGGAAAUAAAGAGCUCCACCUAAAAAUAAAAUCCCACUUUGGGAAGCAACUGGUGAAAUUUAUUUUCAAGAAAGGUCACGUCAUCGAGUCCCACCACCCCUGCCUAUGUUCUCAGCAGUUCUGCGAAGGGGAAGAGAUGCUUGGUCACAUGGCAAAAGGUGAUGAUGGAUUCUGGCUGCUUGGUUACUGUGGAGAGCUGUUUAAAGAUCUGGAAUUGUCUGCCGGGGAGAAACUAGAUGUGAAUAUGGUUAAGGAUAUAGAUAUAUGAACUGGGUGCUGGGGAUUUCUUCCAACAAAAGCUUUUUCUUAUGUCCUACCAUGUCAACAGCAGCAAUUUUACCUAAUGAACUAAAAAUCAGGAAAACUCACUUCUCAUGGAACUCUCCUCACCAACAAAAUUAAUGUUUAUAUUCCUGCAACAUCCCUCCUCAGUAUAUCUCAUUUAAUUUCAGAAACAAGCAUAGACAUUGUACACUGAAGCCUGGGUAAAAGUAAUGUAAAAAGAAAUGUUUGAUUCUGGAAAUGUGAUCAACCAACGUAUAGAUUUCAUUCCUUCAGGGCAGGAAUGAGAAAGAGUAAAAUUUGCCAAUUGACCAGUUAAUAGUUAAUUCAAAAGCCCAAUACCAUUUUAAUGAAAUCAAUAUGAACUUAAACAUAUUACAAAUGAGCCAUUCCUUGAUACAUUCAACUCUGAGCUAUAGUUUUCCUCUCUUGGUGUUAACCCCUCACCCGUACGUCAUGCAUUACCCCACUGGGAGCCUUCUGGCUGCCUAGGUUAGGCAUUGCUGUCAUCUCCCGCGUUAUAGCAGAGAAGUCUGAGGAUGAGCCGUUCUGACUUGCUCAAAAGUCAUACAAAUGGUGGGUGUUAGAGUUUGGACUUUUCCUUCAGGCCUUCUGAAGCCCCUUCCCCACCCCAGCUCAAACUGCACCCCUCACUCCACUGCACUUGCCUACAGAGAGCAGAUGCCCACCCAUCCAAUUGGAAGGAAUCCUCUGCCUUGUCAAAGACAUUAAUGAACCCUACCAGUAUCACCACCUCAGAAUGAAAGGAUGGACAUGCUCCUGCAGGAAAUGAAACAAGAAAAAUGGGGAGAUUUAUCAAUUUGCUAUAAGCUUCAUUGAAUUCACUUCAGUAUAAUUUUCCUUGGAGCCAAAACCCUUGGGAUUCUAUGCAAAUAUCAGCAGCUAUGUCCAUAAUGAGAUAAAUGUGUUUCUCGUUUGUCUAAGAGCUUUUUUCCUGUUUUUUUCUCCUUUGGCCUUGGUUGUUUCUUCUUCCCACUCAUUUUCACCCAGUCCUCAUUUCCUCUUCUCUCUUCCUUGCUGGAUUUCCCAACUCUAUUAAGUUUUUAUUUUUUUGGAUGUUCCCUGAAGAAAUGGAAUUACUAGCAAAGUGUUCCUGCGUAGUCAACAACUAGAGCACUGAUCCUAAAAUAGAGGACACAACGGACCAGGAGCCCCGAACCUCUCUACCCACCAACACCUCAGACUAGACCUGAUGCCCCAUAUCUGUAAUGGCACCAAUUCCCAGCCCACACUCCCAGCAUUACACUUGGCUCUUGUAUUAAAAUUAACUGGUUCUAUCUUCCUCUGUUACCCGAUGCUCUUCCCCCUGGUAAUUGUCCUGGUGCCUAACAAAGUUUGCUGUGUAAAAUAGGCACUAAUCAUGGGCUUGAUGGAUAAAUGAAUGAACAAUUGGAGGGGAAGUCCCCAAUCCCACCCAAAGGCCUAAGACUGAGCACAGAAAACAUAAAGGAGGGAGCUGAGAGUGUGGGAGGAAGAUUAUUAAGAGGAGACACAUGCCCGCUUCAGCUGAUUGGUGCCAUGCUAGGAUGUGUGCCCAGAAAUGCUAGAUUGUCCAGUUGUUUUGAGAGAAUUCAGAUAUUGAGGUUUUAGAGAUAAAAGUCUAUUUGUAACCUACAAGAACUUUUAAGCUGAAAUGUCAUGAACGUAUUCCAGUACGACAGGGGCUCUCUGGAAACCAGGAACACAACACAACGACCACAUUAUUUCAGCUCUUAAUGGUCCUGGUACAUCCACCUGUACAUGCUCAGGGCACAUAGUUCAGUAAUUAAAUAUUUCCAUUAUGGCUGGGAGGAUAGCAAUAAGGCCACUUCACUGCUUUCACAAACACAGAAAGCGUUUUCACUGAAAAAGGGAAGGCAGAUAUGCACUGAUUGAACAAGGUCUAAUUAAGUCAGUCUAAUAGAAGUAGAACUGGAAAAAGCAAUAAUGCAGGCACCAUGGGAUGAGCAUGAGGUUACAUGUCCCACAAACACCACAUACAACCUCAUUUUGCAUAGCAGCUAAAGCAUAUUUAUUGCGCCAAUUUUCUAAACACCUUUUUUGAGAUAUAAUUCACAUACCGAACAUUGACUCUCCUAAAGUGUACGAUUCAGUGGUUUUCCGUAUGGUCAUUAAGUUGUACAGCCAUUGCCAUUAUCUAAUUCCAGAACAUUUUUGUCACCCUGAGAAGAAACCCUGACCCCCAUAGCAAUCACUUCUUAUUCUCCCUUCUCUCCAGUUCCUGGUAACAACUAUAAGCACUAUUUUACUUUCUGUCUCUAUGGAUUUGCCUUUUCUGGACAUUGUGUGCAAAGGGAAUUAUAUGACUGUGCUUUUUGUGUCUGACUUUUUUUACUUCACACAAUGUUUUCCAGGUUCAUGCAGGUUGCGUACUUUAUAUAUUUAUGUCUGAAUAGUAUUUCAUAGUAUGGAUAUACCACAUUUUGUUUAUCCAUUGAUCAGUGAAUGGACAUUUGGGUUGUUUUCACUUUUUAGUUAUUACAAAUACUGCUG